rnacentral:rRNA from 1 species
UGAACGCUGGCGGCGUGCCUAAUACAUGCAAGUCGAGCGAACAGACGAGGAGCUUGCUCCUCUGACGUUAGCGGCGGACGGAUGAGUAACACGUGGAUAACCUACCUAUAAGACUGGGAUAACUUCGGGAAACCGGAGCUAAUACCGGAUAAUAUAUUGAACCGCAUGGUUCAAUAGUGAAAGACGGUUUUGCUGUCACUUAUAGAUGGAUCCGCGCCGCAUUAGCUAGUUGGUAAGGUAACGGCUUACCAAGGCAACGAUGCGUAGCCGACCUGAGAGGGUGAUCGGCCACACUGGAACUGAGACACGGUCCAGACUCCUACGGGAGGCAGCAGUAGGGAAUCUUCCGCAAUGGGCGAAAGCCUGACGGAGCAACGCCGCGUGAGUGAUGAAGGUCUUCGGAUCGUAAAACUCUGUUAUUAGGGAAGAACAAAUGUGUAAGUAACUAUGCACGUCUUGACGGUACCUAAUCAGAAAGCCACGGCUAACUACGUG